CACGUAGGCACCAAGCGUUGUCCGGAUUUAUUGGGCGUAAAGAGCUCGUAGGCGGUUCGAUAAGUCGGGUGUGAAAACUUUGGGCUCAACCCAAAGCGUGCAUUCGAUACUGUUGUGACUAGAGUUCGGUAGGGGAGUGGGAAUCCUAGUGUAGCGGUGAAAUGCGCAGAUAUUAGGAGGAACACCGGUGGCGAAGGCGCCACUCUGGGCCGAAACUGACGCUGAGGAG
rnacentral:rRNA from 1 species